rnacentral:rRNA from 1 species
CGCCUGUAGAAACCUCUAUUACAGGUCAAUCCUGCCCAGUGAAAGUUUUAAACGGCUGCGGUACCCUGACCGUACAAAGGUAGCAUAAUCAUUUGCCCCCUAAUUAGGGGCUAGUAUGAAUGGACAAACGAGAUUAUCCCUGUCUCCAGCAUAACCCCAUAAAUUUAUCUACAGGUGAAGAAGCCUGUAUAAAAAUAAAAGACAAGAAGACCCUGUCGAGCUUUAAUCAUGGCUAAAACACUAUAAACCCCCUUACAAUAUAUUCUUUUAUCCCUGAUUUUUGUUGGGGCGACAAUGGAAUACACUAACCCUCCACCACACCAAAGACAUCAAGUCCUCCCAAAGAUCCUCAAACGACAUCCGGAAAUAGCUACCGCAGGGAUAACAGACUAAUCCCUUUCAAGAGCCCAAAUCUACAAAGGGGCUUGGCACCUCGAUGUUGGCUUAGGAUCCCUCUUAGAUGCAGAAAUCUAUUACGUAGGUUUGUUCAACCUUUAAUAUCCU